UACGUAGGGUGCGAGCGUUGUCCGGAAUUACUGGGCGUAAAGGGCGCGUAGGUGGUGGCUUAAGCGUGCGGUGAAAGCUCGGGGCUCAACCCCGAGUCGGCCGUGCGAACUGGGCUCACUGGAGCAUAGUAGAGGCAGGUGGAAUUCCCGGGUGUAGCGGUGGAAUGCGUAGAGAUCCGGAAGAACACCGGUGGCGAAGGCGGCCUGCUGGCUAUGGCUGACACUGAGGCGCGACAGCGUGGGGAGCAAACAGG
rnacentral:rRNA from 1 species